rnacentral:lncRNA from 1 species
CCUUUUUACCCUAUUGCAUAAUUAACAUCAAGUACAAAAAUGAAAUUAAUAAUAAAACCAAAAUUCAUCAAUAAACUCACACACUAUAACUAAACCUUACCAUCAUGUGUUCAUUCUAGCUAAAACCCCAAUAGCUUUUAUGAUGAUGAUUUUGAAGUUUUGAAUUCUCCAACUAAGGUAUAACUCGACUUAUGAAAAAAAAAUUGUCCGUCUGAUUUCAAUUUUUUUUAGAACGUAGAAGAUGAGUAUUUGAGUUUCAACUUUUUCUUUUUCGU